AUGGUUUCAACCCAAUCAACCUCUUUACUCUCUUCGGAAUCAUUGGGUUGUUUGCACACAUUAAAAAUGUUCAGUUCUAAGGUCAUAUUACCGAAAGAAAGCUUCAUGACGCCAUUCCUACAAUUAAUCAAUGCAUUAGAAGUUGCAAGGAAUGGACGUCCUAAAAUGACCGGAAUCUGAGACUGUGAGUUCGAAGCCGGAUGUGUGUCCAAUACAAUAAAAU
rnacentral:lncRNA from 1 species